rnacentral:rRNA from 1 species
UGGGGAAUUUUGGACAAUGGGGGAAACCCUGAUCCAGCCAUCCCGCGUGUGCGAUGAAGGCCUUCGGGUUGUAAAGCACUUUUGGCAGGAAAGAAACGUCAUGGGUUAAUACCCCGUGAAACUGACGGUACCUGCAGAAUAAGCACCGGCUAACUACGUGCCAGCAGCCGCGGUAAUACGUAGGGUGCAAGCGUUAAUCGGAAUUACUGGGCGUAAAGCGUGCGCAGGCGGUUCGGAAAGAAAGAUGUGAAAUCCCAGAGCUCAACUUUGGAACUGCAUUUUUAACUACCGGGCUAGAGUGUGUCAGAGGGAGGUGGAAUUCCGCGUGUAGCAGUGAAAUGCGUAGAUAUGCGAAGGAACACCGAUGGCGAAGGCAGCCUCCUGGGAUAACACUGACGCUCAUGCAAGAAAGCGUGGGGAGCAAACAGG